rnacentral:rRNA from 1 species
UACGUAGGUGGCAAGCGUUGUUCGGAAUUAUUGGGCGUAAAGGGCGCGUAGGCGGUUUGUUAAGUCAGCUGUGAAAGCCCGGGGCUCAACCCCGGAGGGUCAGCUGAUACUGGCAGACUAGAGUACAGAAGAGGUAACUGGAAUUCUCGGUGUAGCAGUGAAAUGCGUAGAUAUCGAGAGGAACACCAGAGGCGAAGGCGAGUCACUGGACAGAACCUGACGCUGAGGCACGAAAGCUAGGGGAGCAAACGGG